GACGCAAGUUAUGCGACAAUUAGCGACCGGUUCAUAAGUAAAAUAUUUGUUGAAUUUGAUGGUGAGGGUAAUCGUUAGGUAUUUAAAGUUCGCUUGCUGCUCCUAUUGAUUGCAUAGUCGACAGAAGUCACCAAAACCUUGACAGACAUCAACGAUCGUUUUAAAAGUCAACGAAAUAAAUCAAAAUGUUCAAAAUUAUUUUACUGUUAUCAAUAUUUACGUUAUUGAUUGGGCUUGUGGUAAAUGAAGAUUGUGCGGUUCUUGACCAAUAUUGUUACGACAAAAAGUGCUGUGAAGGAUUCUUGUGCAAUGCAAUGUCCAUGAGAUGUAUAAAACAUUAAACAAUUUGUGGAACUUCAAAUUCGAGGUUUUAAUAAUUUAAUUUCAACAUCUAUUAAAUUAUUCCUUCAAGUAAAAUUAUGUAAGACGCAUAAACAAAUGAAUAAAUAGUAUUGCGCUAUCAAAGUAUAAAA